rnacentral:rRNA from 1 species
GACGAACGCUGGCGGCGUGCUUAACACAUGCAAGUCGAGCGGUAAGGCCUUUCGGGGUACACGAGCGGCGAACGGGUGAGUAACACGUGAGUAAUCUGCCCUUCACUCUGGGAUAACCUCUGGAAACGGUGGCUAAUACCGGAUAUGACAUCCUGCCGCAUGGUGGGGGGUGGAAAGUUUUUUCGGUGGGGGAUGAGCUCGCGGCCUAUCAGCUUGUUGGUGGGGUGAUGGCCUACCAAGGCGACGACGGGUAGCCGGCCUGAGAGGGUGACCGGCCACACUGGGACUGAGACACGGCCCAGACUCCUACGGGAGGCAGCAGUGGGGAAUAUUGGACAAUGGGCGAAAGCCUGAUCCAGCAACGCCGCGUGAGGGAUGACGGCCUUCGGGUUGUAAACCUCUUUCAGCGCAGACGAAGCGAAAGUGACGGUAUGCGCAGAAGAAGGACCGGCCAACUACGUGCCAGCAGCCGCGGUAACAC